AGCACUAGUGUGUGUUUGGUUUUUGUCAGCUGGUAGACAAAGGCAGGUAGGGCAGGUGCAAAAACAAAGCCUCUUCCUCAACCGAGAACUUGUUGUUCAGUAUGGGUUUUGGUACAUCCAAGAAGGAAUAUG